rnacentral:rRNA from 1 species
UACGGGGGGGGCAAGCGCUGUUCGGAAUUACUGGGCGUAAAGGGCUCGUAGGCGGCCAACUAAGUCAGACGUGAAAUCCCUCGGCUUAACCGGGGAACUGCGUCUGAUACUGGAUGGCUUGAAUCCGGGAGAGGGAUGCGGAAUUCCAGGUGUAGCGGUGAAAUGCGUAGAUAUCUGGAGGAACACCGGUGGCGAAGGCGGCAUCCUGGACCGGCAUUGACGCUGAGACGCGAAAGCGUGGGGAGCAAACAGG